CGCCGGCUGCGGCUCGGCGGAAGGGGCGGGGUAGCCGUUGCCAGAGAAGCUACUUGAUGGUUACUAGCUCCGUUUUCGUCCAGUUGCACCUGGAUGGGCACUCUUCCACACAAGCCGUUCUAGGAAUUCGCCUGCUUGCCACCUCGCGUCCUUUGACUUCUUUUCUAGCUUUCACCUACUGCACUUCCCCCUGCGUCCCGCUCUCUCCUAGCCGACCCAGGGCUGGAGAGCACAGUGGAAAGCAGGACAUCCUAAAUGAAAAGACUGAACUGGAAGCAACAUUUAAGGAAGCUGAAUUGGCAACCUGUUCUGUAGAAUUAUUUUUGCCAUUAUUUAAGGAUACCGUUGAAGAGAUUAGUUUUGAAAAUGCUAAUCUUUUUGCAUUCAAUUUGAAGAUUGCUAAACAGAAGGAAAAAUUAACAAAAGAAUUAGACACUUUUAAACAUGUAAAACAAGCUUUAGAACAUCUUAGAAAGACAGAAUACCAACAAGUAGAGGACAGUUUAUCCAGCAUGUUAGAGAAGCUAACUGAUAAUGAAAAUGAAAAUACUAAUCUUAAGAAGAAGCUACUUGAAAAGGAGACCUAUAUUCAAGAACUUUCUUGUUUGUUUCAGAAUGAACAGGCAAAUGCUUUGAAAGCAAACCGUUUUUCACAAUCAGUAAAAGUAGUACAUGAACGACUACAGCUCCAAAUUCGUAAAAAGGAAGCAGAGAAUGAUAAAUUAAAAGAAUAUAUAAAGAGCUUAGAAACCAAGAUAACUGAAUGGAACUUAGAACUGAGAAAGAGUAAGCAUGAAGCUGUAGCAAUGAAAGAAUCAAGUAGGCAAAAAACUAUAGCUCUAAAAAAGGCAUCUAAAAUUUACAAACAAAGGCUUAAACACUUUACUGGAGACAUGGAAAACCUUACUUCCCAAAUUGGAGAUCGGGAAGCCAAGCUGUCCGAAACAAUUUCAGCUUCCAAUGCCUGGAAAAGUCAUUAUGAGAAAAUUGUAAUAGAAAAAACUGAAUUGGAAGUUCAGAUUGAAACAAUGAAAAAGCAAAUUACUAAUCUUUUGGAAGACCUGAAGAAAGUAGAAGACGUUGGUAAAAAUUCAUGUGAAGAAAUUCUUAGAAAACUUCACUCAGUUGAAUAUGAAAAUGAAACUCUGAAUCUUGAGAAUACAAAGUUAAAGACUACCCUUGCUGCUUUGAAGGAUGAGGUUGUUUCUGUUGAAAAUGAACUCUUAGAAUUGCAAGAAGUAGAAAAACAACAGAAAGCCCUUAUUGAAGUAUAUAAAACUCAGAUACAAAAGUUGCAAGAAGCAGCUGAAAUGGUGAAAAGCAGAUGUGAAAAUUUGCUACAUGAAAAUAACCUAAUAACAAAAAACAAAAAUAAAAAGUUAGAGAAGAUGAGAGGCCAGACGGAGUCUCAUCUGAAGGAGUUAGAGCACGUCCGCGAUUCGGUGACGGCGGCGGAACGGAGGCUUCACGAGUGUCAGGAGAGUGUGCAGCACUACAGGGAGAGAUGUGCGGACAAGGUGCACACCGUUAGGGAGCUUCAGGGCCAGGUUGAUGGAAAUCAUAAUCUUCUAAAAAAGCUUUCUUUGGAAGAGGAAAAUUAUCUUAUUCAGUUGAAGUGUGAAAACCUUAAACAAAAAUUAGAACAGAUGGAUGCAGAAAAUAAAGAGCUUGAAAAGAAACUGGCAAACCAAGAAGAAUGUCUUAAGCACAGCAAUCUUAAGUUUGAAGAGAAAUCUGCAGAACAUACAGCAUUGGCCAGACAGCUGGAAGCUGCUUUAGAAGAAGGAAGACAAAAGCUUGGAAAAGGAAUAAUGGGGCUGAGAUCUAUGUUAUUCUGAAGCUUGAGUAUCUAGGAGUGGCCAGAGUUUAAAUAGAAGCAUUUGGAAAAUUUCAGGUCAGCCCAAAGUCAAAUCAUGACAGGAGCAUAGCACAUUGAGAAACCAUCUCACUGAUAUUGUUCUAGGUUCUUUUUAUAAAUCAUCUCUAACUACCCUGGAAGGAUAGUAUGAAGAACCUGAGACUUGGAGAAUUAAUUUACCACCCAAGGACAGUGAGUGGAUUUGGCACUGGGAGCUUGGAACCUCUCAGCUCCUUCCUCCUGCCACCUCCCUGUGACAAGUUCUUGGCCAGUCUGUACUUCAUCCCCUGGCACCGCAAGCCUCCAUGGUCCAGCUACGUUAGCCUCCCGGGCGUGGCAGUGAGAACGCGGAAGACGGAGAUUGGUUCUGGACGUCUGGCCGUGGAAGUGACAGCACUGACAGGUGGCCCAUCCUCUGGACUGGGGUGGCAGGCCUUGGGAAAGAGAGAUGCCUGACUGGACUCCGGGAGGUUUCGGUCCUGCAGCAGGUGAGAAAGGAAACCCAGCAGCCAGUGUGCAGAAUUGUGGGCAGGGCCCCUGCGCGCGGGAGAGGAGUGUCUGCACUCAUAACCUGAGUGCCCCCGCCAUUCUGGGAGUGUGACAUUAAAUGACAAAGAAGGAAAAAAAAAAUCCACCCUGACAAGUUGUGGGAAAGACCACAGAAAGAAGGAAAUUUUUUUUCCUGCCUUUUGUGAAAGGCCCACGCAUUUUCAUUUACAGCAAGGAGGUUGGAAUGGAUAGUGAGAAAGACAGCCUGCUUUCUCUGCCACGAUUACCUACAUCGUGACUCUGGCAAGAGUUGUACCCCGUUUGUACACUAGACUCCAUGGAGCAGGGCUGGAUCUGGCUCAACACUCUUUUAUCCCCAGUUCAGGAUACAGGAACCUGUCACAUAGUAAGAUCCCAAUAUUUGCAGAAUUAAAUUGUUAAUCAUCCAUUUUUUAUAUGUUCAGGUUAUUAACCUGUAUAUCUAACGGUGUAUUUUCUCCCGCCACAGUUUAUAUUAACUGGAGAUCUUCACUAAUGGUAACAAAUUCAUAUUCAAAUACAGUGGGUUAGUUGGAAAAAAUAGGUAUAUGAAUUAUACUCAGUGAUUUCAUGUACUGGGCAGAGCUAAUACAAAUAUGGUACCAUAUGUCCAUUGUGCUUAGUGAAUUAAAUCACUUAUUAUGCCAUUAUGAAAACAUUAAUAAUGUUUACCCAGCCACAGAAACCACCAAUAUGAAAUUAAAUUCCUACUAGUCUUCAUCUUUUGAAUUUCACAAACUGGAAUUAAUUUCAAAGGGAACAUGCCUGGCUGAAGUGUAUUAAGAGUGGGGAAAAAUCACUGAAAAUUCUAUGGAAAAAUUAGUUUGAUUUAAAACAGGAAUGCUCUGAGCAGAAUCAGACUUUUCAUAUACUUCUCACCAUCUCCAAAAUGGAAAGUAAGAGUAUUUCUACCAAAAGGUUUUAAUUAAAAAGGAUUUUGGCAUGUGUGUGUGUAUAAAAAUAUCUCUUAAUUACAAAGAUAUAAAGUUAAAGCUUUUACCUGAGAUUUAAUUAAUAGUCUCAAUUGUGUAGCUAUGGAUUAAAUGAUGGUGAGGAUGGCUGGGAAAUUGUCGGAUGAUCAGAUCAUCCAGAGCAAUUCAGGAAGCAAAACUAUACCUCCCAGAACUUAUCGGGCUCUCCAAGAAGUGGUAGGGGCAGAGGGCUUACUCCAAAGAUUCUUUAAAUUUAUAGGAUCAAAGAGGUUGUUGGAAUCUCUGGCCUUAGAUGUUUUGUUCAGGGGCUGCAUCAUGGAAAUCUGGCCUGACAGCCUGACAGGUCCUGAAUUAGAUCUAGUUAUAACUCAGAGCAUAUGAGUUACUUAAUGGGAAUCAAUGAGGCAAUUGUGUGAGUAUCUGGUUGUGAUAGCCUACAGGCACAGUCUGGCCCUUGGGCCUAAAUAGGAAAUAAGGGAAUUCUGGUUCAUUCAGGAAAGGUGGAACAGAGAAUGUUGACUUUAAUUAUCCUGAUAAUUUUGUCUUUCAUAUCAGUUUGACUACAGGAUUUAUCCUAAUCUAUUGUGCCUCCAAAUUAAAUAGUUACAUUGACAAAGUGUAA